CAGAAGGAAAAUGAGCAGCUCAGGUCUUUAAACUUGCAGCUUAAGUCAUGGUCAGAGAAUUUCCAUGGUAGCCCUGAAAGUAUCACUUAUUUCUAAUUGACAUGGCCAAUACUGCUGGAAAUCAAACACAAAUGUAAUUGUGUAGGUUGCAAAAUUAGAAUACCAGGUGAAUCCACAGCCUUACCAAGCUCCCAUCUGAAAGCUGAGGCACUGACUGCAGAGGAGUGGGCCUCUGACACAUGGCAUAGGACCAUCUGGUUGGAGCCAAACAGCGGAGAAUAUGAAUCCCCGAGCCACUGCGAGCCUCCCUGCGCUCCCAGGCAUUUGGGCUGAAUCAGAACCCGGCCUCAAGACCGGCGGUGCUGGCAAGAAGUGCCCGAUGACCUGCCAACGACUAAUUCCUGGAUGACAAAAGCUUUUGCUCUGAUUUCUCGGUUUCUCUUAAGGCAAUAUUCCUGCCUCAUUCUAUUAAUGCAUUUCAUCUGCGGCAUCAGUACUCUCUUCAAGUCUUGACUGUGAAUAAGCUAUAUAUUCUUCUUUCACUUGAUCAA